GGGUUGUGAGGUUAAGCGACUAAGCGUACACGGUGGAUGCCCUGGCAGUCAGAGGCGAUGAAGGACGUGCUAAUCUGCGAUAAGCGCCGGUAAGGUGAUAUGAACCGUUAUAACCGGCGAUUUCCGAAUGGGGAAACCCAGUGUGACUCGUCACACUAUCAUUAACUGAAUCCAUAGGUUAAUGAGGCGAACCGGGGGAACUGAAACAUCUAAGUACCCCGAGGAAAAGAAAUCAACCGAGAUUCCCCCAGUAGCGGCGAGCGAACGGGGAGGAGCCCAGAGCCUGAAUCAGCAUGUGUGUUAGUGGAAGCGUCUGGAAAGGCGCGCGAUACAGGGUGACAGCCCCGUACACAAAAGCGCAUGUGCUGUGAGCUCGAUGAGUAGGGCGGGACACGUGGUAUCCUGUCUGAAUAUGGGGGGACCAUCCUCCAAGGCUAAAUACUCCUGACUGACCGAUAGUGAACCAGUACCGUGAGGGAAAGGCGAAAAGAACCCCGGCGAGGGGAGUGAAAAAGAACCUGAAACCGUGUACGUACAAGCAGUGGGAGCACCCUUUGGGGUGUGACUGCGUACCUUUUGUAUAAUGGGUCAGCGACUUAUAUUCUGUAGCAAGGUUAACCGAAUAGGGGAGCCGGAGGGAAACCGAGUCUUAAUUGGGCGUUAAGUUGCAGGGUAUAGACCCGAAACC
rnacentral:rRNA from 3 species